rnacentral:rRNA from 1 species
GUCUUUUUGAGUAUAAUUUAAAGUCUAACCUGCCCACUGAAAUUUUUAAAUGGCCGCGGUAUUUUAACCGUGCGAAGGUAGCAUAAUCAUUAGUUUUUUAAUUGAAAGCUGGAAUGAAAGGUUGAAUGAGGAAAUGACUGUCUCAAUAUAAUUUUAUUAGAAUUUUAUUUUUAAGUUAAAAAGCUUAAAUAAUUUUAAAAGACGAGAAGACCCUAUAGAGUUUAAUAUUUUUUUAAUACUUAUUUAUUUAGAAUUUAAAAUUUAAUAUUAAAGAAAUAUUUAAUUGGGGUGAUUGAAAAAUUUAAUAAACUUUUUUUUUAUUUUAACAAUUAUAAUUGGUUAAUUGAUCCAUUUUUUAUGAUUAAAAGAUAAAAUUACCUUAGGGAUAACAGCGUAAUUUUUUUUGAGAGUUCUUAUCGAAAAAAGAGAUUGCGACCUCGAUGUUGGAUUAAAGAGAGUAUUUGGUGUAGAAGUUAAAUAACUAGGUCUGUUCGACCUUUAAAUCUUUACA